CUGGUUAGCUUAGUUGGUACAGCGCUUCACUGGAAAUGGAGAGAUGCCUGGUUCGAUACAAGGACCGG
rnacentral:tRNA from 1 species